rnacentral:rRNA from 1 species
CCUACGGGUGGCAGCAGUGGGGAAUAUUGCACAAUGGGGGAAACCCUGAUGCAGCGACGCCGCGUGAGUGAAGAGGUAUUUCGGUAUGUAAAGCUCUAUCAGCAGGGAAGAGAAUGACGGUACCGGAGGAAGAAGCCCCGGCUAACUACGUGCCAGCAGCCGCGGUAAGACGUAGGGGGCAAGCGUUAUCCGGAGUUACGGGGUGGAAAGGGAGCGUAGACGGCCUGGCAAGUCUGAAGGGAAAGCCCCGGGCUCAACCGCGGGACUGCUUUGGAAACUGUUAAGCUGGAGUGCAGGAGAGGUAAGUGGACUUCCUAGUGUAGCGGUGAAAUGCGUAGAUAUUAGGAGGAACACCAGUGGCGAAGGCGGCUUACUGGACUGUACCUGACGUUGAGGCUCGAAAGCGUGGGGAGCAAACAGGAUUAGAUACCCUUGUAGUC